rnacentral:lncRNA from 1 species
UCCAUCCCUGCAACUGAAAAGUCCGAGGUGUCGGGACGUGCUCUCGGCGGCCUGAUUCCACCCCUUCACCCACCCACCACUUUCUAGGUGAAGUUAAGGCUCACCUUCGAAGUGAGGGGCAGAUGGUUUUCCUGGCGUCAGGUGGGAAGUGGAGGGCACAGGUGCAGAGCGAACUAAAUGGUCACAGAUCGACGGUAGCAUGAAGCCUUGAGAGGCGAGAGUCCUAGGAGCGGGGAUGGAAAGGAAGAAUUCCAAACGCCUUUCGGACUUAACAGAGGAGAGACCCCAACUAAGCACUUGCAGAGCGACUAGGAGUCCUGGCAGUUGGAAGGCGCAGCGCACGAGUUCAUCAAAUGGCUAUAUUGAAAGAUAGCCAAGCAUAAGAUGCUCUUUGCAGACUCCUAGAGCCCCCACCCCACCCCUUCCAGAAACAGAUGACAUUCUUCUACCAGGGAGACAUGAGGAGCUAACUUAGGAAAUGGGUUUUAAUAAUGUGUAAAUAUCACGAUUUCAGAGUCUAAGGAGCUUCUGUGUAAAAUGAUGAGCUUCUGUUUGGAUUUAGUUAGGGAUUCAGGGGAAGGGCAUGAAAAGUGACUUAUGCUACUAAUAAACACUCUUUAAUUAAA